rnacentral:lncRNA from 1 species
CAGCAGCAGUGGCAUGCAAGCACAUAAAUUCAACCCCUCAAAGAACAUACAUUAGAACAGAUUUUGUGAAACAAUGACUCAGGAAAGAGUAAAGGGGAAUACCUCAUGUUCGUCCAAAAGCUUCGAAGCAAAACUCGAUUCACAACAAUAUAGAGUUAUACCUACCUCAACCAAUUCCUCCUCUAGUAGUGAUGAUACAGUCUGAUUAAAGCUGUUAGAUAGAAAGAAGGAAACAGUACUCGUAGGAACUCGAGAUUGAAAACGUCUACCUCGUGGGAUAUAAUAUUAUCUACAGAACCGACUAAUACAGACUUCAAGAGGACCUCCUGCGACUGUUCCUAGCAGGGGAUCGUGAUCUGCUCCGGUCACGGUACCGAUCCCUUCCAUUACGUGGACCCUUUCCACCGUUCCUGUCUCUCGAUCUAUCAUAAUCACGUUCACGUUCACGGUACCUGUCCCGCUCUUUGUACCUGUCUCGGUCAUGAUACCGAUCCCUUUCACCUGAAACACUCCUACUCCUGUCAGAUUCAUUCUCCUCACCUCGUUGAUUCCUUCCUUCUUCAGCUUCUUUCUCCCUAGCUAA